UUUGCAUGCGUUUGAAAUAGUAAAAUUAUACUUUUUGCUAGAUAAGCGAAAAUCAUUUGGAUUUUUAGAAACAUUGUAUUUCAUCAAUUGCACAUUCCUCGGGGUCAUCUUUCAAUCCUCAAAACUCAUCAAAAUCGAACGGGACAUUUGGUUUGCUGUCUGAUGGCUGAGUAAAUACCUGAGGUGAACCCUGAGCGGGUUUACUUUGCCGUUUGCCGUUUGCCGUUAAUCAACUAGAUACGCAGGGCAAAUCCGCAAAUGUCGGCCAAAUGAACCGUUAUCAAUUACGUAACGGAUAAAGUGCAAGCGAUAGGCAGCUCGAUGCGGAAAAGGGCUGAAGGGGUUGCAAGUUGCGUAUUGUAUGUGGCAAGCAUAGAGUUGCCCCUAAGCUAAGGGUUCUAUGCGCCUCUCUAAGACGGGGCAACGCGGGCAAAAGGUUGAUGAACUCCCAAGAAACUUGCACAUCAAUUUGUCUUCUCUUUGUUUGCAGUCUGACCCACAGGAUACACGCAGGAUACUCGCAUCGAAAGGCAUCGAAUGGGCAACCCUACUCAAUGUCGGGACCUCAACAUUUGAUAUAUGAUGUGCCGAAAAAGAUGCCGUCUUAGAAUUGUUAUUGUCUAAAGAAAGGGUUUCGAUAUUUCCAUACCGAAACAAAAGAAAUUUGACGAGAUGUGAGUGAGUUUUAU